UUUCCAGACUCCUACGGGAGGCAGCAGUGAGGAAUAUUGGUCAAUGGGAGAGAUCCUGAACCAGCCAAGCCGCGUGAGGGAAGACGGCCCUAUGGGUUAUAAACCUCUUUUGUCGGAGAACAAAACCCGGGACGUGUCCCGGACUGCGUGUAUCCGAAGAAAAAGCAUCGGCUAACUCCGUGCCAGCAGCCGCGGUAAUACGGAGGAUGCGAGCGUUAUCCGGAUUUAUUGGGUUUAAAGGGUGCGUAGGCGGUCCGUUAAGUCAGCGGUAAAAUUGCGGGGCUCAACCCCGUCGAGCCGUUGAAACUGGCUGUCUUGAGAUGUCGAGAGGUAUGCGGAAUGCGCAGUGUAGCGGUGAAAUGCUUAGAUAUUGCGCAGAACUCCGAUUGCGAAGGCAGCAUACCGGCGGCGAUCUGACGCUGAGGCACGAAAGCGUGGGUAUCGAACAGGAUUAGAUACCCGUGUAA
rnacentral:rRNA from 1 species